GCCUGCUCUCCAGUGUCUGAAAACAAAUGUUUUUCUGGUCUUCACUUUUUUGAGGCAGGAAGACACUCAAAGGUGAGAAUCAGUCCUAGGAAGAUUGUGAGCAACCAGUCUACAAUGCAAAUAUUAAGCAGGCUCAAAAGUAGAUCUGUAACUACAGCUGCAGCUCCAUCAAGGCAACAAGUGGACACAUCCUGGCAAAGUAUUUUAUAUAAAACAUUUGGUUUGCUCCUUCCAGAAACUGUAUGAGAAAAGUUUGCAUAUCAAAAUCCUACUGAUGAGAAAGUGGAACUCAACAAUGUUAAAUGAUUCGCCUGCCUAAGGUCACACGGUUAGUGACAGGGAGUCUAGAUUUCAGCCUAGUUUUGUUCAACUUCAAAGUCCAUGCUUUUAUUUGAUGGACACAUUAAAUUAUCCACCAUUGUAUCUAGACUGGGACACAGCCACAAUCUGAAAAUUGAAUUCUAAUUUAAUAAAUGUGCCCUCUGCCAGGAAAUAUGAGGAAUGGCUAUAGAAAUGAAGAAGAGUCUCCACCAUGAAGGAGCUUAUAAUAUUAAAUGUUACACUCCUUUUGGUCUAUUCAGUAAGUCUGAGGAAAAGAAUUGAAUUAGAAAACAUCUAAUUUCAUUCAUUCAUGUAACAAAUAUCAGUAAUUUUUGUAAUUUCAGAGAACAAUAUUAUAAUUUGGAAGGUGUUUAGGACACCUUGGGUAGUUUAUAAUAAGAGGUGAUAUAAAAUCAUCCAUUUCAAAAGUCAAUUGUCAAUGAAUAGAGCUUUCAACUGAGGCCAGGAUACGCAAACUGUAAAUGAGGCUUUAGACACAAAAAGUUAGUCUAGGCCAAGUGGUUUAGUGGAAGGAUCCUAGAUUUUAUAUCAGAAAACAUAAUCGUAUGUGGUCUGAACCAUUUAUGGCUUGGGAAAUUCACUUUAACUUUCAGAGCCUCUGUUUCCUCAUCAGUCAGUGCCUGUGACGAUAAAAGGAGACACAUAUGGACGUGCCUGGUACAUUUUAUGACCUAUUAGAAGAUUGUGAGGCCAGGAAGUAUGUACCUGCAGAAAUCUCAAAUUGUGACUUGCAGUGGAGGUGGAAUUCAAUUAUGAUUAAGAAUGUAGGUAAAUGUUUCAUUUUUUUUUAAAGAUGAAAACUAAGCCCAGGAAGCUUGAGUCAUCUGGAGAUGAAGCAGUUGCAGCAGAGCAGUCUUGGUAAUGGAGAAGAUCAUGUCAGCGCUGAGAAAGGCAGGGAGGGAGGCCUGAGCAAGGAAGCCUGGAGAAGCCUCUGGAGGAUGUCUGGCCAGGGCUGAAUGCUCAGAAAUGGAAGGGAAAGCUCAGGAGAUUAUCGCUGAAUCAAAGUGAGAACCUCUGAGGACAGGGGAAUUGGAUGGAGGUGCCCUUCAGAACUCAUGGAGAAAAGCACUGCUCCCAGUAAAAUAUCUCCCAUUCUAAUGAAUGGGAGGACUCUUCUCCAAGAGGCUGUGACUACCAAGGUUGCAAAUGCUCCACCUGAACUUGGGUGCAUGAGGGAUCUCUCUCUCUCUCACACACACAACCCCCCCACCCCACCCCGCCACCGCGUAAGAUGAAUUUCCGUUUGUGAGCUGCCUACAUUAAAUGCUUUGCUCCUGA
rnacentral:lncRNA from 1 species